rnacentral:rRNA from 1 species
UACGAAGGGGGCUAGCGUUGCUCGGAAUCACUGGGCGUAAAGCGCACGUAGGCGGAUCUUUAAGUCAGGGGUGAAAUCCUGGAGCUCAACUCCAGAACUGCCUUUGAUACUGAAGAUCUUGAGUGCGGGAGAGGUGAGUGGAACUGCGAGUGUAGAGGUGAAAUUCGUAGAUAUUCGCAAGAACACCAGUGGCGAAGGCGGCUCACUGGCCCGAUGCUGACGCUGAGGCACGAAAGCGUGGGGAGCAAACAGG